AGUUUGAAUGGAUGUAAAUACUUUUUGCCAAAUUGCUCCAGAUUUCUGUAUGGUAGGCACACAACCUUGAUGAGCCAAUGUAAAAGUACAUAUGAAUUUCCCGGAUUUGACAACGCAUACUUCAGUACAUAGCGCACCAUUAAAUUGCUGCACAAUGACUAAAAAUUCAUAAAAACUGCCAAAGAUGCAUAAAAACUGCCAAAGAUGCAUAGUGCACCAUUGAGGUAUUAACCAUUCAUACUUUCUAGAUACAUUACAGUGCAUCUACAUACCAAAGGUAUGUGUACAACAAGAAUCUGAAAAAAAAUCUGAAUCCCUCUCACGCUUUUGUACUUGGUCUUCUCACAUUUAUCUCAUUUUCACAUUACUUCUUCCUCUUCUCCUAGUACCUCUCACUGCCUUCUUUGAUUCUGCACCCAGCAAGCCCAAGAUGUCCAUAAAUAAAAAACUAACAAACACUGCACAAAAAGAUGUUGUUAAUAGGGUUGCAAGAAUGCUAAAAAAAUACAAUAUAAACAAUGAUGCUAGAAUAGUAAUUGUGUAACACCAUUCGACAACUACAACUCGUGAAGGAAAUAUAUCAAAACAUCCACCAACGAGGUGCAUGAAUAUUAGUUUCCCAUGGAAAUUAUAAAAACUGUACGUAGGUAGCCAGCUUUUCUCCUCUAUUUUUUUGCAUACUCAAAGAAUAUGAAGUCUGAAAGGUUCUAAUUAUAAAACACACUCCAAAGCAAACCUAUUUUCCUAUUCCAUAUCAAAAUAUAAACUAUUUGAUGAUAAUCCAACUUGGAAAUGUAGUCAUCUUUUCCAAGGGACCUUCUCUAAGCAAUAAGAAGAAAGUUCAUGCCACAAAAGGGAGCUUCUCUAAGCAGUAAGUAGAAAGUUCAGGUCAUAAAGUCUACUCUUAGACAUAUACACAAUAAAAUAAAACAAUGAUCACUUGGACUAAUUGGAGAAUAACAUGCGAGCUUAUAGCAUUUGAUCACUUGAACUUAUAACAAUAGGAAUAAGAAAUAUGUACGGCCUCCGACCUGUGGAGAUUAUAAGAAAUUUGUAAAUGCUAGUACUGCAACCAACAUUUAUAAAUACUAGUAAACUUGAACUUAUGGUCUCUCGAGAUUUGAACUGAUUGUGUUACAAGCACACGCACAAAAAUCCAACGAAGCUGAUAUCAAUACAUGUUAAAAAGAUAAUCAAGUUCAUGUAUAUUAAUUUUGAGAAGUUUAGAAAGAAACUUUUUUAAAAGUUUGUACUGAAAAGAUGUGCAAACAUAUGCAAACAUAUUUAGUGCUUUUUUAGGAAGGAACUCAAUUCAACAAAACAUAUGCAAACAUCUCGGCUUUGAACUUCUAUAUUUUUUAUUUGAGCUUACUUCUCUUGAGAUUUGAACUGAUUUGUGUUACAAGCACACGAACAACUCUGAAUGAGAUGAUGUUGGUACAUGUAAAAAAGAUGACCAAGUGCAUGUAUAUUAACCGGAGAAGUUCAUAAAGGAGCUUCAUCUUCACCAUACUGACUAGACCAAUACUGAAAAAUUGAAGUAUGAGAGGGAUACCCGCUUAAGUUCAAACUACAGAAACAUAAGCUGCAAGCUCUAUGCAAAGUAACCUAUCAUCUAUUUUCGAAAGCAUCUAAAUGGAUGGUUAUAGGUUUAGACAGAAGUUAAGUUUCAGCAAUGCCCUUGCGGCAAAGCAAACUAAAAUGUAUCAUUUUGCGUCAAGACUCUGCACAUUUAAAGCAUAAUGCAUUGAAAAGAACACACAUGUUGAACUGAAAAUCAAAAUAAAAGUUGGGGUAGCAUGCCUGUGAGGAAGGAGGUUGAGGGCAGCAGGGCGCAUAGUGGACGAAGGACGCACAAGGAAGAUGAGUUACCUCAUUGCUAGGCUGCGAGGUGACCUCCAUCGUGGAGGUCCUCGGGUUGGAGCGCAUCAGCAAUGAGUGGGGCUGCAACAGGGGACAUGUUGCAGUGUGCACGCAUGGCAACGUCAUCCUUGUCGUCAUGGAGAAGUAGGACUGCUGGAGACAUUGCAAAACAGCACAACAAUAUUACAUGUUUUCUGAAGUUGAGUAAAACAUGUUUGAGAUUAUCAACAGUACACAUAUUGUAUCUUUCAGCUAUCAGUUCAAGAGUCAAAAACUUUUCGAACUGAUGUUUUUUUGUCAUCGAACUGAUGUAAUUUUUUGUAUUUUCAAUUGUUGUAACUAUGUAGUUGAACGUAUAGAUUUCCAUUUUAUAAUUUUGCUCUUAUAAAUAUCAUAUGUGUUUGUUUACGUACUGAAAACGGAAUACAUACUGAACCUGACAAUACGGAAACAACAAUACUUCAUAGUCAUUCUCUCUUUGUUGCCAUAUGGUUAGAGCUUAGAGCAUCUUCAGCGGUUCGGCCCCCCAGGGCGAAUCGCCCCUGGGGGCGAGCCGACGAUUCUUUCGGCGCUGUGGGUGGUUUUGCGCCCAGUCGUCGCCCCCAGUCGCCGAUUUUGGCCCACUUUUGAAGCCCCAUUUCGGUGAAAAAGGCCCAUAUGGGCGAGAAUAGGCCCAUAUUCGGCGUGGUUCACCGUGGCUCGGCAUUCAAUUAUCAACAUAAAUAUUUUUUAUCACAUAUUUCAUCACAGAAAUUUCAAAUACUUCAACAAAAUAGUACAACAACAAAUAGUUCAAUACAAAUUAUAUAGUUCAACAAAUAAAAACUCAUAUUUCAUCACACGUCGCGCCCGGUGUCGCCCUUGAGCCUCCAUAGGUGCUCUAUCAGAUCUUGAUGCUGUUGAUGAUGCACCUGUGGGUCUAUGAUCUCCUGACACAUACUGAGGUAGGCAAUCCAGGUUGCCGGUAGCUGGUGAUCAACUUGGGCAAGAGGACCCUGCCGGUGGUAUGGUUCAGUUGCAAACAUUGGCUCUUCCUGCUCGCUCUCAAUGAUCAUGUUGUGCAAGAUGACACAGCAGGUCAUGUUCUCCCACAUUUGAUCUUUCGACCAGGUCUGAGCGGGGUACCGGACAAUAGCAAAUCGAGAUUGGAGCACACAAAAUGCCCGCUCGACAUCCUUCCUGGAAGCCUCCUGAAUCUUUGCAAACCAGGUGUUCUUGCCUCCAGGCACAGGGUUUUUGAUGGUCUUCAAAAAUGUCGAACAUCUCGGAUAGAUGCCAUCAGCUAGAUAGUACCCCUUGUUGUACUGCCGCCCAUUGAUCUCAAAGUACACCGGAGGAGAAUGACCUUCAACAAGCUUGGCAAAGACAGGAGAGCACUGCAGCACAUUCAUGUCAUUAUGAGUUCCUGGCAUACCAAAGAAGGAGUGCCAAAUCCAGAGGUCCGGUGCAAUCCAUCUUGCAUUUGAAGUAGUUGUCGAACUCCUGGAUGGAAUUCACAAUCCGGAGGAAAAGCUUUCUGCUCAUCCGAUAACGGUGCCGAAAUGUUCUGUCGCCGUGAAGUGGAGCAUCGGUGAAGUAGUCGGAGUAGAGCAUGCAGUAGCCUUCGAGACAAUGCCGAUUCUUUGCUUUCACCCGCCCCGACGCCGAGCCACCUCGCCGCGGCUUUUCAUUGCUCGCCAAUAGCUGGGCGAGGGCGACAAGCACCAUGAGAUGCUGUUCUUCCUGGAUGUCGGCCUCGGCUUCCUCCUCCAGCAGCGCGGCGAGCACUUCCUCAUCAUCCGAGUCCAUCGCCGAGGCAGGCAAAUCGCUGAACACCUUGCGCGCGGUGGGCGUGCACCCGCCGCUAAACUGCCCCUCCACGGCCGAAAAUGCCCAGCUGGUAUCGGAGGGGCUGUCGCAGCGAACCUAUGCUAUUUUUCCGGCGGGGAAUGGCUAUCUACCGGUUAAGGGCAGCGGGGCGGCACCGGGAUAUACCUAGUUGCGGCCGAGAGCGCGGGGGGUGGGAGGCGGUCGGGGAAGAAAAUCUUGACUUUUCACCUGACGGCGUGGGCCAGCCGCGCUUUUCCCUUGCGCCGGAGCCCCCAAGCGCCCCCAGCGCGCCGGGUUCGGCCUGCGGCCGCCGGGCGGAGAAAAGGGCCGAACCGGCGCUUUUCGUCGUCUUGGGGGCGCGACUGGGCCGUUUUUUUGGUGUCGGCGCCGAAAAAGUCGCCUGGGGGGCCCGUUGGGGGCGCAGCUGGAGAUGCUCUUACAGCCACAUUAGCAAAAUCUUUUAUUGUAUUUUUUAAUAAUAUGACAUAUAGUAUAAAACCAAACUGGGUUUUAACGCAUACAAUUGAACUUUUUUCUGUACGUCUUGUUUGAACUGAUGACAUAUAUACAUGGUAAACUAUAGAGCAUCAGCUUUUGCAGUAAACACAAUUCAUAUUUUUAGAAUCAGGAGAUGGAUCGAACUGAUUGUUCUAGGUAUGGUGAACUGAUUUUUGCAGAUAAAAAUCUAGUUUCUAGGUACGGCGGACUGCUGCUCAUGACUAACUCGACCAUCUCGAUGCCAUGGGGUUGAACUGAGGACGGCUAUGGGAGUAGGGAGCAUCGAGCGCGGUGGGUGGUGGCGCAUACCUAGGUGAAGCAGGAAGGAGACGCACAUGCGAACAAAGGCUGGCUGCUUUGGGCCCCGCGGUUGGAGGCCGUCUUCAGCCAUGGCAAGCACCGGGGUGCGCCUUCCUCAGUCGUGGAGCAAGUUGCGCCUCCACACUUUCCCACAAAUUGUGCAGAACACAACUUCUAGCAACACGAUAUGUAGUAGUAGUAGUAGCAUUAAUGUAGGUGGCAAGGUAGCAGUGGCAAAAAAGUAGGCAAUUAUUCUUAAUUUGCUCCACAACAGCUUCUGUUCACAUUUGCUACAACUUUCAGUUGGAAAAGAAAGACAAAACGGAUAGAAAAUCCCCCAGUUGGGGUAGUGAACCUUUUUACUAAAUAACUACAAUUCUACCAUAUAGUAAACUGUUGUAUAACUAGAAAACAGUCUGAAUUUUUUGCGCAAACACCGUACUGUUUUAUAUGUUUUCCAAGAACUUGAGAUAGCUCACGUAUUGAACUGAGAACACCUAGUUUGUGUUUCAGGAAAUAAAAUAGACAUCCUCUGCUUUUUGUGAUAAAACUAGUGUGGACUUGGGAGGAGCGGCAGUGUGGAUGGUCAAUUAACCUCUCUUUUCUCUUGCUCCUGAAUGCAAGCAGUUGGGAUCUCGGGGCGACAGAGGUGGUCGUCGCGCGACGGGGAGGAGCAGGAAGGGGCGGAGGUGGUUGUUGCCGAUGUUCCUCCUUCCCACCGGUGGCCGCCCCUACGGAGGCAGAUCCAUGGUCCGUCGCGGAGGUGGGAGGCGAGGGCGCAGUGCGUCGCCGGAGGUUAGAUGAAAUUCGAACUAGAUUAGAUGAAAUUCUACACACACAAAAUGCACGGUGGGAACUAGAUUAGAAGAAUUCUUUUUUCACAUUUGACCACUGAGUUUUUACACAGUGUACUUAUAUAGUUUCAUCUUUUUAGCAAGCUACAGUAGAAAUGAAAAUAUGUUGGAGGGAGCAUGCUAGAUUAGAAGAAAUUCUUUUUUCACAUAUGACACCUGAACUUGAACUUGUUAUUCCCAAAAAAGUCCCCUUGAAUGUUUUGUUUUUUCGAACUUCCCAAGUUUACGUUUUCGAACUGAUUGAAUAGUAGUAUAUGAGCUCACCAACACGAUGAAAUUUCUACUGAACACUAAGGUGCAUAAUAUACACACAAGGUACCUGAACAAUUUACUUAGCCUGGUCGAAGGAGAAGGUGCAGCAGCAGCAACAAGUUGUGAAAGAAGAACUUGUCGCUCGUGGAG
rnacentral:lncRNA from 1 species